UAGGCCCCUCCCACCGCAUGGACCGGCCAAUAGACAGCGACGCUGACUCUUUCGGCCCCACCCCCUCCCUCACAGGCGCUCCACGGUGACCGUGGGGACGUUUCCCAAGUAGGUGUCAGCGAAACGGCUUUUGCGGCUCUUCGUAAACCAGACGGAUCUGCGCAGAAGUAUUAGCGCCAGGAUGGCAGCGUUCCUCGAGCCCACGCUGCCGGAGGAGGAGAGGGACUUUCACAAGGCGAUGGCUUUGAUCGGCGGCAAAGAGCGGAUCUAUCUGGUCAGUGAUGCCUGUACCAUUAAAGAGGAGGACGAGGACGCGGCGGUGUUGCAGGAGUUUAUCCGGGAAAUGUUUUACAACAGCAGCCCGGCGGACAGCAGGGGCGAAACCUCCAUUUGCGGCAUGCCAGGGGCUGUAAAAAGCCACGAAACCCCUCCGGUGGCGGGGCCCAGGGAUCCCGGUGUCACCGCCUUCCCGGCGGAAGAGGACGGGGCGGACAAGGAGAAGCGGCCGAAGCGCGAUGGCACCGCGCAGAGAACAGCAACAAGGGCGAACAUUCACAGCCAAAAGCGAACCAUAGACUCUCCCAUUAUCAUAUUCAUCUUCAGACAGACAUUUAUCAACCGACCAUCCAACCAAUUGUGCUUGAAAGAGACGCUGAAGGACGUGAAGGCUCGCACGAAACGUGCCCAAAUCGCCCGACCGGCUCUGAUUGGAUUAAUACGCACAAGACUGGAGAGCGCAGAGACGCGACAGUGUGCGCUACUCCUGGAGCGCCAGAUCCGCUCGGUGUUCCACAAACAUUCACCAGAGACUAUAUGGGUCGGCAGUUUCAUCCCGCGGACAGAGGCCAAUCUGCUCAGCAUCAAGAAAAACGCCUGCAAAGUUAUAUACUCGUCUCAAACCGCAGAUAAUACCGGGGAUGGAGGGAACCAGCUUUUCUGGCCGUUCCGAUGUUUGCUCUGGCCACGGAGAAGAGGCCGGGACACCAAAUCCUCAACCAGCAGGCAACGAGCUAACACUGGAAGUAAAGAAGAAGUCAUCCCUCUGAAAAUCGGUUUGUUGUCUGCUGGCCCUCAUGUGAAUGGAGACUCUGUUGGAGGAGACAGCUGAUUUCAGAACACAUGGCCUGCAGACAAUCCUCUUUUAACUGUGAAGAAAGGGUUUGCCUUGUGGUACUAAAAAGCCUGACUACAUGUGACAGUGUUUCUGUAUAGUGGUCCAUAUUCCAUGUUCUGAAGAUAUAUUUAGCUAGUCAAAUAGUUUCAGACGGUGAAACAUACUUUUACUGUUUAUGAUUGGGGCUGAUUCAAGUAACUAUUUUUUAUAUGAACUAUAUUACAUUAUUUUACACCACUUUGAGGCCUAGAGAGAGAUUUGUCUGAUCCAUGUUAAAACCCUCAGUAUGGCUAGUGUUAAGCAGAAGUAGUCCUACCCCAUCAACAUGAUGCACAGUUACAUACGGGGCUGAAUGGUCAAUUGCUCAUUGUGUGUCAUUUGGAAUUUACAUCACCAAAGCACAACACCAACAUAAUCAUAAAAAGCGUCUUAAGUAAGGUCCCGCUUUAUUAAUAGGGACCAAACACCUUAUUGUUUUCAAUGAAGCCAGUACUGUGAAUCCUUUUCAUGUUAAUUUAUUAGAAUUAAGUGCCUUAGAUGAGUGCUAAUGACGAACGCAUUAUCUGCAAUAGAAGUGGAUGAAACCACGUUUCACUUUGUACCUGUAUGUGUUCGCUAUUCAUUUGUAAAUAAAAGCAUAUAAACUUUUCUGAGUGUACAGCUCUCUCUAUAUUGAAUGUCGCUGUCAAUUAUUUUAGAAGUAUGUGGACAUUUGGUUGCAGACUCAGUAAUUGACACUGCUCUGUCAUAUG
ensembl:lncRNA